UUGCCCAAUGAUUAUAGCAAGACGCGUUAUUAUGAGGACUAAUGCUGGAACUCCUUCUCCUUCUCCUCUUUUGUCCCUUCCUCUUUCACCUUACCCCUCCCUCCCCCCCCCACUUUCCUUAGGGUAUCCAGCGUCCUAUGAGCAAGACUGAGAUAUGAGGGCAA
rnacentral:snoRNA from 1 species